ensembl:snRNA U6 U6 spliceosomal RNA
GUGCUGGCUUCAGGAGCACCUACUCUAGAAUUGGAACGAUACAGGGAAGAUUAGCGUGGCCCUGUGCAAGGAUAGCACUCAAGAAUGAGGAUACAGGACAGGCACAG